UCUGUUUCCUUUUUUACUUUGACAUUCGCCUGCGUUCUCACUAAAUUGCGUAAAAUUUUCGGAACUUUUAGUUGCGUUGCCCCGAAUAAAGACUAAAGAGCAUUCAAAAAGCGCCUUGCUGCUGUUCCUGCUGCAACGUACCACCAAAUUGGUUUGUAAUUCAACAUUGCGAUUUCUUUACACUGUUCUGUUCCUGGUGGAACAUAGCACCAUAGUGCCUGGUGAUUCAACAUCCCAACAACAAGUUGGAAGCCGGUUCCUGCUUCAUUGUGCCA
rnacentral:lncRNA from 1 species